UGUCCUGAAAAGUACAAUGGUGCAAAGGUACCCAAAUUUCUACAAGUGUUCUACAACGAUGCAGUGAGACCCCAAGAAAAGGUUUUCGCUUGGCACUGGAUACACCUGCAUGGGUACAUACCACCCUUGGCCUACCGUGACCAGGAUCUUAAGUGCUUGGAUAUAUAACUGGAGCAAGACAACUGGCGGCGGAAGAUGUACAAUCACUCUCAAUAUGACUUGCAUCACGGGAGCGCGUGGUAUCAUGAGUUCAAAGACUGGCCGUGGCUUCCACUAGCCCUUAUUUCCAUAACUAAAUGCUGUUCUCGCACUCGGGGAUGAUUCCAAAUAAGAAAAUAUCAUUUAGUUGCUGAAAUGAAAACACGUUGAACCCAUGCGCAAUCUUUGAACUCAUGAGGCCACACGCUCCCGUAUUGCAAGUCAUACCGAGUGGAAAAAAGAUUCUGCUAAAAGAUUCUACAUAAAAGUGGAAAAGUGAUUCUGCUACUCCAUGUAAUCCUGCAGUCUGCUAAGCAGGGCAAGCUCUAGAAGUAUGCCCACAAACAAUGCUGUCGAUAUGGUUGCGGUUUGCCUAGUCUAGGAAUGGCUACAAUUUAUGCCUAUUGAUGCCCAUUUCCACUGGGCAGCAAGUUUGCCAGUUUCCCAGCAUUACAUCAUGAAUGUAGUGAUCA